CGUCUGCAGUAAAGACAGUAAAAAUGAAUGAAUGAAUCAUGAGGAAAUACUGACUGUGAAGGAGCAGUGCAGUCGCUCCACUGUGGCUCCGCGAGGAUGACGAGCCGUGAGGAAGAGCGCUGAAUUCUACAAGACACUGAUCUGAGAGUGAAGCUGAAGUGUCAUCCUGGACUUUCCCCUCCAGACCACAGAGAAGGGAUGACGACUGUGGAGCCCCAAAAGAGGGCGCUGUGGGGUGAGAGCUGUGGGGCUGGAAAGGCCCCGCCUCCCAGGCACCAGAGAGGGCGUGGCCGUUCUCCUCACACAGCGACAGAGCAGCUUCAACUGCAGCUGCAUCCAAAGCCUCUGCAGCCUCAUCGGCCUGGAGAAGAGGAAAAAGUGUUUCUCUAAAAACAUGCCGACAUUUAUUAAAUGACAUAAUCCUUCAUUAUCUCGAGUGUCAUUAACGCCUUUACUGAAGCUAGUGCCAUGAAAAUAUACAGUACUUUGCUUCUUUGCACCUUGUCUUCAAUGAUAGCGAUAAUGUCUCCCACAGUCUUGAAGUCCAGCUCGUCUCCCAUGUAGGACACGCUCUCCUCUUCCUCACUGAGUCCUGACACUUUGUCAUCUGCAGAGACGAACACAGCCAUCACAUCCACUCAUGAAAAACAUCCUCCUCCACAGGUGUUUAAGAGCUGUGAGGGUGGAGCUGUGAAGUGGACAGACCUGUUCCUGCUGAGGCAGCUGAGUGGACAGGAGGAGGAGCACAGGACACGGUGUCUGCACUGACCAUGAAACUCAGUGGAGCAGAAAAGUGCGUUGGACCCGCCUCCAGCAGACGAGACAACAUGGGAGCACCUGCUACACAAACACAGACACAGUGCAGACAAAGAAACAAAGGCUUUCAGGGAGCACACAGUAAAGCUUAUAUAAGAAGAGUGUAUCCAUUUAGGAUUCAAGGUACAAAACGCUAAACAAUGUGGGUGCCCUGUGCGCAAAAGACAUCAUGGUUGCAAGUUCAACUCCACCCCUGGCUGAUUGUACUCAAUUCCCUUCUCGACAAACACUGACUCUGCCGUCACAACGUACCAGUCUGGAAUUAGAGGCCAAGAUGCUGCCUUUCUUCAGUAACUCUGACAGCAGUGGAGACGGUGGGGGAGUGGCUUUCUGGCACACCACUUUCUUUUGGGCGAGGUCGUCCACAGGUGACCCGUCUUCAGGACCAGGUCCAGGAGACUCCGGAAAAACCAUUAACCUGGACGAUCCUGAAGCCUGGACACAACAACAGGACGGUCACAGAAGUAAUCUGUGGGGAUUACAGCACAAACAAAAGGAAUCCUGAAGAAAGGAAAGAGUUUGACAGAGAGUCAGCAUGAAGCACACACUGACAUGGAUUCAGUUUGGAAUCUUCCACAGUAAAAACAUACUGUACACGCCCACCUUUUCAGUCAAGAUGGUACAACCCAGGGGUGUCUGGAAUAUUUGCGUUCCAUUUCACUGAGCUUAUUGUUCUACAUAAUAAUAGACGAUAACGUGUCUGUAUGAUAACUAUACUUUAAUAUCUGACCAAUAAGAGAGUUCAGCUUUUAUUUAACAACAAGCAUUAGUUCACGUAACACAUUUAUUAUUGAACAUAAAUAUCUUUAUAAUUGAAAUGACCUCUGUAACUUUAUGUGUUAUGAAUCACUUUAAAAACAACAACAGCUGAAACAGAGAGAUAAAUAUAAUAUAAAA